CUACGGGGUGCUCCAGUGAGGAAUAUUGCACAAUGGGGGGAACCCUGAUGCAGCAACGCCGCGUGGAGGAUGACGCAUUUCGGUGUGUAAACUCCUUUUAUAUGUCAAGAAAAUGACGGUAGCAUAUGGAUAAGCGCCGGCUAACUCCGUGCCAGCAGCCGCGGUAAUACGGAGGGCGCAAGCGUUACUCGGAAUCACUGGGCGUAAAGGACGCGUAGGCGGGUUGAAAAGUCAGGUGUGAAAGCCUACAGCUUAACUGUAGAACUGCACUUGAAACUCUCAAUCUAGAGUAUGGGAGGGGCAGAUGGAAUUAGUGGUGUAGGGGUAAAAUCCGUAGAUAUCACUAGGAAUACCUAAAGCGAAGGCGAUCUGCUGGAACAUUACUGACGCUAAGGCGUGAAAGCGUGGGGAGCAAACAGGAUUAGAUACCCUGGUAGUC
rnacentral:rRNA from 1 species